CAGUCGCCGCGGUAAAACGGAGGGUGCAAGCGUUAUCCGGAUUUAUUGGGUUUAAAGGGUCCGUAGGCGGACUUAUAAGUCAGUGGUGAAAGCCUGUCGCUUAACGAUAGAACUGCCAUUGAUACUGUAAGUCUUGAGUAUAUUUGAGGUAGCUGGAAUAAGUAGUGUAGCGGUGAAAUGCAUAGAUAUUACUUAGAACACCAAUUGCGAAGGCAGGUUACCAAGAUAUAACUGACGCUGAGGGACGAAAGCGUGGGUAGCGAACAGGAUUAGAUACCCGAGUAGUCCCUGUCUCUUAUAU
rnacentral:rRNA from 1 species